rnacentral:rRNA from 1 species
AUUGAACGCUAGCGGGAUGCCUUACACAUGCAAGUCGAACGGAGUGGCGAACGGGUGAGUAAUGUAUCGGAACGUGCCUAGUCGCGGGGGAUAACUACACGAAAGCGUAGCUAAUACCGCAUACUAUUAGCGCGGGCGAUAUCGGAUUAGCUAGUUGGUGGGGUAACGGCUCACCAAGGCGACGAUCCGUAGCUGGUUUGAGAGGACGACGAGCCACACUGGGACUGAGACACGGCCCAGACUCCUACGGGAGGCAGCAGUGGGGAAUUUUGGACAAUGGGGGAAACCCUGAUCAAGCCAUCCCGCGUGUGCGAUGAAGGCCUUCGGGUUGUAAAGCACUUUUGGCAGGAAAGCGGUACCUGCAGAAUAAGCACCGGCUAACUACGUGCCAGCCGCCGCGGUAAUUC